AUGGACCCCAGGCGGCCAUGGCGACACUUGCAUCUGCCACGGGACUCCGAGGUACAGCAAGUGUUCCGAGCUUCCACGGCUUGGACACUCGAUGACGGCCGGACAUGCAGAUUUUGGAUCGAUCACUGGUUGGACGGGCAGUCAAUCUCUGAGAUUGCUCCAUCUAUCGUCGCAAUGGUUCAGCACCGAUGGAAACGCGCGUGCCUUGUAUGCGAUGGCCUCCAUGAUCAUAGUUGGAUCUCUGACAUUGCCGGUGCACUAGGCCCACUGGCAAUGCUCGAGUACAUCAAUCUAUGGUGCCGUAUUCAGAUGGUCUCCCUCUCUACCACCCCGGACACCCUCACCCCGCGAUGGACUGAUACGUCUCCAACAUAUCUAUAA
rnacentral:rRNA from 1 species